AACGUAGGAGACAAACGUUAUCCGGAUUUACUGGGCGUAAAGGGCGUGUAGGCGGUCUGUUAAGUCUGGCGUGAAAGCUCUCGGCUAAACCGGGAGAGGUCGUUGGAUACUGGCAAACUAGAGGACGGUAGAGGCGUGUGGAAUUCCGGGUGUAGUGGUGAAAUGCGUAGAGAUCGGCAGGAACACCCAGGGGGAAACCAGCCGACUGGGCAUCUACUGACGCUGAGGUGCGAGAGCGUGGGGAGCGAACCGG
rnacentral:rRNA from 1 species